rnacentral:rRNA from 1 species
UUCAACGGCCGCGGUAUCUUAACCGUGCGAAGGUAGCGUAAUCACCUGUUUUUUAAAUAAAGACCUGUAUCAACGGCACCACGAGAACUAAACUGUCUCCCCCAUCCAAUCAGUGAAACUGAUCUUCCCGUGCAGAAGCGGGGAUGUAAUCAUAAGACGAGAAGACCCUGUGGAGCUUAAAAUCAAAAACCAACUGUCGACUACCAAAAUAAAUAUUCAUACAGUUAUGUUCUAGAUUUUCAGCUGGGGCGACUGCGGAGUAAAAAUUACCCUCCGCGAAGAAUUAUGCCGAGAGCAACUACUCUAAGCAUUAAUACAUUUUACUUAAAUUGACCCAAUUUUUGAUCAACGGACUAAGUUACCCCAGGGAUAACAGCGCAAUCCACUUUUAGAGUCCAUAUCGACAAGUGGGCUUACGACCUCGAUGUUGGAUCAGGGCACCCAGGUGGUGCAGCCAUUACUAAAGGUUCGUUUGUUCAACGAUUAAAG